rnacentral:tRNA from 1 species
GCCCGGGUGGCGAAAUGGUAGACGCAGAGGACUUAAAAUCCUCUGACCGUAGGUCGUGUGGGUUCGAGUCCCACCCUGGGUACCA